ensembl:lncRNA
GUCUUAAAUACUUCUCGUUAAGUGAGAAGUUGCUCACCAAAGAGUGACACAGGGAGAAGUUGAACGGGUCUCACAGACCCGAUUACCAUACAAGGGUUAAAAGCAGUAAAUUAAAAGCAGAAAGACACAGGAAGUUGCCUGUUGUUUUACGAGAAGUUGCUCGUUAAGCGAGAAGUUGCUCGCUAAGUGAGAGUUGCUCACACAAACAAAAAAUUGCUAGCAAUAAAUUUAAAGUGACCUCAGCUGUGCCGCAGCGAAAAUACUAACCUAAAUCCUCCUAGCGUGUAAACCCCUCUGGAAAUCACUGAACAUGGGUCAGAAUUAUUCAAAGACCACAGACAGGUCCGAUAAAAAAUCUAAAGUACCUGUAAAACCAAAAAUUAAUAAAAUACAAAAUAAAGUCUCAAAUAACGGCUCAGUAUAACUCCCAUUUCCGGUUACGUGUAACCUACGUCCGCGAAUCGGUGAAGACGUCCAUGAUCACGUAUCCAGAACAUGCGGGAGUGCUUAUGUGACUGACUUUGUUUACAACUUAAGAAGUUCAAUGCAUUCUAAUUUCUUUUCGGAGCCUUAUCCCGAACGAUUAUCGCCAGAAAACAGGUCAGUAGAAAUGUUGAAUAUCAUUUGUGAUAAGAAAAGUAGUCUGCUUAAAAAGUCCUGUAGAAAAUAUAUGAUAGAAUGCCGCGACGUGAUGCAUCAAAUGUUACCGCUAUGGAAAAAGGGACCGGAACCAGGUGUAGAUGCUUUAACAUCAAAUAAAACUAGUGCAGGCUCUAGCAAAGAAAAUAAACCUACCGCAGGAAAAGCUAGUCUUGCAUGUUCAGCCUACAGCCCCACACCCUUAAGAUGAGACCGAAUUAAUAGUCGCUGUAGCAGCUGCACGUAAACAAUGUCAGCAUUCUGAUCCAACCAGCUCAAAAGAAAGCGACGAAAAACCUGAAUCACAUGCAACGGAUCUUAGCCAUCUCUUUAAACAGGAUCAGGAAAAACAAUAUAUACGCCGCAAGGAAGAAUUAGCAGAACAUAGAAAGAGAGAAAAACUUUUGAAAGAAGAAUGUGAGGAACUUAUGAAAAACAAUUUAGACGACUAUGAAAAAAAAAACUUUUGCAUCAGGCAGUGUCCACAAUAGACACCCACAUGAAACACCACGAUAUCGUAGCUAGAGGUUUAGAGGUAGCUAAAGAAAUACCUGUUACCCGAACUUUAAUAAAGACUUAUCUAAAAGGAAAAAAGGAAAAACAAAGCCGGAAUGACAAAGGUCCUCACGCCAACACUCGCGGUAGUAAACAAACAGACCCAAAGCAUGAUAAAGCAUCCACAACUGCAGAGUUUUUGUGGGUAAAUAAUGACAAAAUCACCAAUUUCUUUAAGAAUCUAAAGAAAUUCCUGCUAACAAUGUCCAGAGACAAAAGUGACUUAAAUGCAGUAACUAUGUGUAAACAGAAGCCUGAUGAAUCUAUCCUAGUAUUCAUAAAACGCUUUAUGCACUGUUGGACAAGCUAGAGGUGCAAAUUUAGCUCAGUUUUCCAGCAGCCGCAGACACCCAGAGCAAAAAUGAAUUUGUGUAUUUAAUUUAACAUAAAGGGUGAAAUGUUUGCUGACACUGAUAACAGCUUAUGUUUUCUCUGCCCUAUGUACCGACAUGAUGGAGAAGGAACAUCCUCUGUGUCAGCUGGACCCUCAGCAGAGAAUGAACUCAACAUCCUUUUUGUCCGGUACUCUAUGUCACACACUGUGCCAAAAAAAAAAAAAACGUGUACAGACGCCACUAACAGGUAAUCCCAUGACUGGGAGCCACACUUUUGUUUCUCUCACACUGUUCAACAACAUGAUAACUGCUCACACAAGUGAAGGUCAAACAGUGAUUUUGUUACAUAACUCAGACAUAGGUUACGAAAUAUGUCGUCACAUAGAUCUAACCUACCCUAUCGACUGUACUAUUUCUGCACUUACGUUGCCAGCUGAAUACCAGAAUAUGACAUUGUGGUCAAAAAGUGAGAAUGAUAUAGGAUUUAUUGACUGUACACUUUAUCACGUACACCUAUUAAAACACAUCAAGCUAGUAUAUGUCAAGCAACAUCCCCUUUCCACGGAAAAAGCCGCAGCUCUAGAUGUCAUCAUAGGAGAUUUAUUGACUACAGGAGUAAUAAAGCCCACACUCCUGUCAAUCCUGUGCCAAAGCCUAACAAACCUGGCGUAUGGCGUUUCAUACAAGACUUAAGGCAAAUUAAUGCAGUCAACAUUCCUCUGCCACCUCUCGUUUCAGAUGUUCACAGCAUAUUGACAUGCAUUGCAUACACAUUUUACCGUGGUGGAUUUAUGCUCCGCUCCUUUUUCUCAGUACCUGUGACACACAGCCGUUAUUUGCAUUCACACAUAGAAAUCAGCAGUACACUUGGACUCGUUUGCCCCAAGGCAUGAUAGACAGCUCUGCUGCUUUCUCAAUGGUGCUUCACUCCUCCAGGGCUGCACCCUGAUCCACAUGUGGAUGACCUCCUCCUCUGUGCUGAAAGUGAAAAACUAUGUCAAACUGCUACACACAUGCUUCUCCAGCACCUCCAAAAGACUGGCCACAAAGCAUAUGCAAAGAAAAUGCAGUACUGUCAGACUUCUGUUCAAUAUUUGGGAUUCACACUGUCUCACGGAAAACGUUCCAUGACUGCAGACAGGGUCAAAGCUGUGACCUCUGUCCCUCGUCCCACUACACAGAAGGAAAUGUUGUCCUUCCUGAGCAUGGUGAACUAUUGCAGACAGUGGAUACCAGACUGUUCUUUUCAUGACCACAUUCUGCGUGACUGUUGUAAAAAAGACAAGCCUCCUCGAAUACUGUGGUCCACAGAAAUGACUGCCUCUUUCAAUGCAUUACAGGGAGUGCUGACCUCCGCCACUCAAAGGUGCUGCCUGAAUUGUUCAGGAAUGCCAGCCUGCCUGAGGGCAGUAGCAGCUUGCUCUAUCAUGAUAAGGGACUGCGGGAAGCUCACACUCUCACAUGACACUAUUCUACACACCAAUCACCAGGUCACGACCAUUGUAGCAAACAUAACUAAACAACAUAUGCAAAUCUCACUAUAAAAGCGAGCAGCACACCUGAUUCGCCAGCACAUUUAUUGAUCCUAUGCUGUGUUCUUCUGACCGACAGGAUGGCUCAGACAGGCUUGAUGAUCAUGACUGCAUGACACGUAUACAGGAAUCCACAGCACAACGUCCAGACUUAGAGCAGACACCUAUCCCAGACUCAGCCACGGUUUAUGUGGACGGGUCCUGUUCAAGGCCGAAUGACAACUCAUUUCUUUGUGGCUAUUCAGUGGUAACAGUGCCUGACAUCAUACUAGAGGCUCACUCAUUACCAUUUCACUCAGCACAAAAAGCAGAGCUCAUGGCUUUAAUACGCGCCUGUGAGCUACAUUUGGAUAAGCAUGUGACGAUUUACACAGACAGCCGCUAUGCAUUUGGCGUUGUGCAUGACUUUGGCACAUUGUGGAGACAGAGAGGAUUUAGAUCUGCUGAUGGAAAAUAAAUUGCUAAAUUCUGAUUUUGUUCAAAGACUUUUUCAGGCUAUACAGCUGCCAUCGGCCAUUGCAGUUGUAAAAACGAAAGGACACAGUACAGCUGACACAGACGAAGCAACAGACUAUUUCCAACACCAUGGUCAGCUUCCAGAGGGGCACCGCUAGUAGAAGGUGAUGUAUAUUGCAUUGUCCACUGAUGUUCACAACCUGGUAGAAAAACUGAAUAAUAACUAUCAGAAAGUUUGUCUCUCUCAGCCUUUCCCCUCCACAGUUCCACCAGUGGAGACAAGGAGAUGCAUGUUGGAGAAGCCACUAAAACCAAGGACACUCUGGGAGGCCGCGUGUUCCAGCCCCCAGGCUUUACUGGCAGUGACGAAGAACCAGCAUCCUCACAGACGGACAACCUCAGUGGAUUCAUGCCAGCAGGGUUAAGACCAGCCCAAUCGGACCAUCUCAGGCGUCGGAUCAAGCAGACGACAUCUCCGGCGAGCCAGCGCCCGGAACUAGAGCAAAUAAACACACGGGUAGAUGACAUCUCCGGCGAGCCAGCGCCAGGAUCCAAUUUACACACACACACAAUCACUGAUUAAGACACAACGUCUGAAAGAACAACAACAAGGUACUCAAACAUCCAGCAGGAACAGAAAGCCAAAAGUACCACAUGAUGUCUAACCUGAUAAAGCCAGACUCAUUUCAUCCUGAUAAUGGAGAAAAUGAAAUGCCCAUUGUCAUCAUACGACGCUUAUUCUGUGUCUCUCGAACCUGGGACCAGGCCAGGAGACAACUGAAGAACUGUUUUUCUUAUAUACUUUCUUAUAUAUUUAGGUUAUUUAUCAUAUCUAUCGCAUUAACCUUAGGAUUUCUCUUUGCUAUUUUGUAUUGUAAACUGCAACCAUGUUCAUAUUUCUGCAGGUCAUAUUUUGCUGACUAUACCUCAUGCUCCAUUUUGCAAGACACCUACUUAAUGCACUCCUCACGCUCCCUAAAAUCAGUAAAUAGCAACAUAGACGCCACUAAUAAACCAUUUUAUGCACCCUCUAGAACAGGAGCUAACGCCUGGUAUGAAAAUGCCAGAACAGCCGCUCGUGAUUUAGGAAACAGUAACUGUUAUGUCUGUUCAAAGGCUAAUCCAGAACAGGUUAUAGUAGGAUACCCCAUAUCCGGUUUCCCCCUCACUGAGGGACUAGAGAAAAUCAGCGGAAAUAAUGCUCUCUUUAAAAACGCUUUACAGUUGACUCUGAGCCCUCUCGACUGCCUACUUAGACACACACAUAGAUUAUACAAAGGAUAACUAUAUAUUCUUCUCUGACUCCCCAGGUGCACGCUGUAAUGAGACAUGGCUAGCUGUCUCUGUGGCUGAAGUUGUAUCAUAUCUGGAGGAACACACACACAGUUCAAGUUCGAGCAGAGAAUCGAUCAUUGUUCCCCCAGACGGUGUAUUAAAUGACACUGACUGGGGGGAGUUAGUUAAAUCACACAUGGUCACGCGCCUAACUAGACCAAUCCCACGUGCUUAUUGGUUGUGCAAUAAUACUCUUAGAUUAGCUUUACCUGUUAAUUGGACCGGUACCUGUGGUCUAGUAACCGUUGAUGUAUGCUGUACUUUCAUUCCCAAUAAUACUGCUCCUAACGGUUCAUUCACACAAGCUAUGAAUAGACUUGAAGCAUUGCAGAUAGAACUAAUUGCCAAUACAGGUCACGGUCAGUGGCUACAUAAGUGGCUACAGGACACGUUUGGAAGAUGGAAGGAACUAAUUGUAGCCUUUGUAACCGUUGCAGCAUGUUUUUGAUGAUUAUUGUCUGUUGUGUGGUACCCUGUGUACGUUCAAUGAUAACCCGUAUAGCUACUAGUACAGCUACUUCAAUGUAUUUGCAAUUGGCACAAAUUGACCCAGAUUAUGUGUCAGAUGUCAUCAAUGAUGUUCCUGAUGUGUAUAUUGAACAUUAGGUUGUGAACUAUUACAUUUUAUGAUUUGCUUUUUAUAUUAUGUUAUUACAUUUGUGAUUUUUCCUUUCUAUUUGAGUUAUUAUUUUUAAAAAAUAAUAAAAGAGGGGAACUGUUAUGAUAUUUUGAUACCACGGUAAGCAUUUACAGGAUAUUGUUUUAUACAGGAAAACUGUUACUCAAUAAGGCCGAUCUACUAGUUGUUUUUCUCUUUCUCUGUGACCCAAGAAUUAAUGUGUAGGACUCACAAGCUGGUACCUGAAGGUCGAAAACACCACAGAGAUGAGACCACUUCCUUACUCCCAUCCUCCCUUUUUCUUUAUCUCCUGGAAAAGGCUCGUUAAAGGCUAGGUGGUUCGUUUCAGAAUUCACUGAUGAAAGAACUCUGUAUUCUAUGUCUAGGAGUGUAUUUUGCUGGGAUGAUCAUAAAUUAUAGCUGAACUGAUAAACUACACACAGGAUACUUCUUUGCUCAGAAGGCAGGAAGACGUUUCCUUAUUUGGUCUGUACCGGUUUGAACUGGGAAAGCUGACACACGAACCUUUUUUCAUCUAUAUAAACUGCUGUG